rnacentral:piRNA from 1 species
UGCAAACUUUUCUUUGAGGCUGUCCU